AGGAAAUGCUUCGUUGCUGGUUUC
rnacentral:siRNA from 1 species